UACGGGGGGGGCAAGCGUUGUUCGGAAUUACUGGGCGUAAAGGGCUCGUAGGCGGCCCUCUCAGUCGGAUGUGAAAUCCCCAGGCUCAACCUGGGAAUGGCAUCCGAUACUGGAGGGCUUGAAUCCGGGAGAGGGAUGCAGAAUUCCUGGUGUAGCGGUGAAUGCGCAGAUAUCAGGAGGAACACCAGUGGCGAAGGCAGGGAUCUCUGGGGCCGUAA
rnacentral:rRNA from 1 species